ACGGAGUUCCCCCGUGCUGUGAAAACUGUAAUUGGUCAUAUGGUAUAAGUGGAAGAUUAGGGGAUAUUUUAAUUCACUUCUCCUAGAAUCUUUCGUAGUUGCAGAUUGGGAACAUCUGUGCUCAGUGCAGGACGGAGGGCAUUACAUUUUUAUCAAAAAGAAUUGAGAACACAAGAAGAAAUAUGUAUUGGCUCACACUUUCACUUUCUUU